CUUUCGUUCUCUUCUCCGAUAAUGAUUAAGGUUAACUUCUCUGGUUUCUGAUAGUUUAUGAAGUCUUAAAUCAACAAUCUCUCCGAGAUUAUGGUCGAAUGAUUUGCUGAUUUCACUGAUAUCAAAUCCCAAAUCAACCCCUAAUCUCAAAUCCAUUUUUUUUAUUCUUCAGGACUGACCUAGCAGCGCCAUUCUCCACCAUGAUUCGAUCUAUUAAUGGAAGUAAAAUGGUCCCACCAUGAUUCGAUCUCAAUUUUCGUAUUAUAUUAUUCGAUCUAUAACCAUCUUCUUCAAUCUAUAAGAAUUUUCUUUCUUCAAUCUCACUGUGAACCAUUUUCUUCUUCAAUCUUUAACUGUAAACCAUUUAAUUUGUUCUCUCUUCUUGUGCCUUUAAUUAUCUUGGUUUCUGUCAAAAUUUGAUCUUUUCAGUUUAUUAUUUUCAAGAACAAUUGUUCGAUUUUGUGAAACUUUAACCUAGAUUCUUCAAUUUAGGAUAUUUCGAGGAUUGGUUACGUGCUUUGUGAACUUAGCUUUUUCUUGAUACUUCUGUUGUUGAGUUAUUAACUAUGGGUUUCGUGAAAAGUUUGAACUUUAGGUUAUAUGUGAUAAAAAUCAAUUUGAGCAUGUUUAUCUCUAGAUAAGUGGAAUGUUGAUGAUAAAAAUAUGUUGCAGACUCUAAGCGAAUAAAUUCUCAUUGCUUUUGUUGUUGUUGUUGUGCAGGUAGAGAUUAAUAGGUUAAGUGAAGAGCUAAUUCGGUUGAAGGAUCUGAUUUUAUAGAUAAAAAAGUGAAACUUGAGUUUGAACCAAUUAUUGAAGUUUGUGGAUUCCUUGUUAAAUCUUGCAUCUCUAACUAUCUCACGGAUGGAUACACAAUAAUGGGAUAUUAAGUUUGAAAGAUGAUAUUUUGAAGAUGAAGAGAUGGUUUAGUUUGAAGGUGUUGAAAAUAACAAGCAUCAAUAUGUAAGAACAAAAUCACAAGGGAGAAAAGAGAUAAGUAAACUGACCUGGUUAGCAUACACUUGGAUCACUUCAUUCAAGUCAGAUUGAGGAAUUAUGUGCCAACCCUGGUUCGAUUGAUUCGAAUGAGCAUAUUGGAGACGAGAAGUAGUUAUCUGUUAAUAUUGUCUCUAAGGCAAUUGGGUCCAUUCUAUGAGAGCAGCAAAAAUGACAUUGAUGACAUUUUGGCGGAGAUAGAGUAGGAGGUUAGCAUGGAUGAUAUCAUCAAUGAACUGAAUUAUGGCUGCACAGUCAAUACAUCCCACUGCAAAGAUUUAUUAUCUUCUUUUACCUCUCAUUGAAGUCACAAUUCGUAGGACACCGUGCACUGACUACGCAAGUGUAAGCCAGCGAAAGCUUUAUGGAAAGAGAGGAGUUUAUAAAGACACUGAUUAGAUUACAAGAGGAGCGUGGGGAAAUCCUCGAGAAAUAUGGAAUCCUUUACAACUGUGCUUUCUCCCUAUGUGAUAAAGGAAGAGAACUAAACGACUAUUGUAUUAUGCAACUCAUUGUGGUGCCUGAAAACCGGUUACAUUUGUACUUCAAGAAUGGGCAAGUGAGAGAUGAUGACAAGGCUGAAGAGAGGGUCGAGGAGAAAGAGAAUGUUGAUGAUGCAGUCAGGGAGUUUGCGCGGCUGUUUAAGAAAGUUACAGGAAACGAAUGGGAGAGCGAGAAAAAAAUCCAGAAGAAGCAUACAAAAUUCUAUCUUGUAGACAUGGGUGAUGGUGUCGAUGUUCAACACGGUGGUCUGGGUCUCAGACAGAUUUAUCUUGCAGGUGUGCACUAAUGGAGAUGAGACUUGACUCGCCUGAUUCGCCUAUGGGGAUGCUGACAGAUGUGAGGAAGUUCUUAACGAGUUCAUAGACAAGUUCAAAAUGACAAAGGAGACUGGACAGAAUAAUGAAGCAAUUUGGUUCAGGUUGGAGGAUCACCGAUUUAUAAAGUUGAUAGGCUACUUGUUUGCUGGAAACCGUUUUUUUUUUCUUUUUCUCUGCAGUGCAAAAACUUAUUGUAUUUUCUACUACUUCUCACCUGGAGAAUAAACUCGAGAAUGCUGAAUAUGCACUUUUCGAUCUAUAAGAGAGAUAGACAAGCAAAUGAGCAGGUGAACGAGAAUCUAUUUUAGUUUCUUCCAUUAGCUUAUUGAUGCAUACGAGCAGCGGAGAUUUCUAUUUCUUCAGCACCCAAGAAAACUUCGGUGUUGGAUACUUAUUCUGGAUUGCCUCUUUUCCCACCCCUCAACCUUUGUUUUGUGCAUGUUUGUUGUAUUUUGGAAUAAUAGUCUUAGUACCCUUGCUUUAUGCUUAUUGUUACAUUCGUGGUUGAAACCUGAUGAUU